ACAAAUAGGUUAUUCAUUGAAGAUAGAAAGCUUAGUGGUAAAUCUAAAGAUUCUCUGGGAAAAAAGUAACUCUCAGGAAUCCUCUUUUUGGGCAGCCAACUUCACUAUUAACCCUUUCCUUUUUAAAUGACUCAAUGUGGUUUAGAUUCAUACAACCCUAGUACAAAUAUAUAUAUAUAUAAAGGAAAACCAUAGGAUUAAGUUACUAACAUAUAUAGAGAAGUGUUCUUGAUGGGCUGUGCUUGUAUGAAGCAGCGGCAGGAACGCAAAAGCGCAGUGAUUCUUGCUGCUCAAACUUGCUUUAAAGUGGCAGAUGUGGAAGCGUUGUAUGAGCUGUUCAGGAAAUUAAGCAGUUCUGUGGUUGAUGAUGGGCUUAUCAGCAAAGAUGAGUUUCGGCUUGGCUUAUUCAGGAACAGCAAGAAGCAGAGUCUUCUUGCAGAUAGGAUCUUCAAUCUGUUCGACUUGAAACAUGAUGGGAUGAUAGAGUUUGGAGAAUUCAUCCGGUCUUUGAGCAUUUUCCACCCAGAUGCUCCCCAAGAAGAAAAAAUUGCUUUUGCAUUUCAAUUAUACAAUACAGGACAGACAGGCUUCAUCGAACAUGAGGAGGUCAGGGAGAUGGUUUUCGCCUUCCUGAAUGAGUCAGACUUGAUCCUUUCUGAUGACCUUGUUGAAGCCAUUAUUGAUAAGACUUUCAGUGAAGUAGAUACAAAAGGAGAUGGAAAGAUUGAUCCAGAAGAGUGGAAUGAAUUCAUUUCUCGGAAUCCAUCCAUACUAAAGAACAUGACCAUCCCAUAUUUGAAGGAUAUUGGAACUUCAUUUCCCAGUUUUGUGCUGAGAUCAGACCCUGAAGAUUAACAACUUGGGAUAACACUUGAUUACACAAGAAUAAAGAGAUUUAUGUACCGUUAUUUUAUCUAUGACAAAGAUCAAUGAACUAAACCAUUGUAUUUCACAAUGUAAGUGAUCUAUCCAUGAGUAUUAUACAUUCUACUCUUGCUAAUAAAAAUUGCAGAGGUUCAAGUUAUCAGAUAGGAAAAUCUGAAGAUCAAAUACUUAAUGGGGCAAUAAGCAUUUGGCCCUUGCUGAGAAGCUUCUCCAUCGAUUCAUCUGGCCUUGACCACCAACAUGUCCUGCAAGUUUGAGGGAUAGCACAUCCCAGUGUGCAGGCUGGACCACACAUUGUCUGCCAGGAUGGCGUUCACUACAUCGGUUGGAUGGAACUGGUCCCACCAGAUAUGAUUUGAGGCGUUGCUGCAGGCCAUUUCUGGUGAAAGGCACAUGAUCCAGCCCCGGUACCUGCCUAGUCCACAGCAGGCAUCUGCAGUGAAAUUGAAACCUGGAGGUGGAGAUCAGAACUCAUGGCAUGAGACAAGGAUCCUACCCAAAAAAUGAAGAGUUGUUUCACAUAUUAAAGCCUACCAGUUCUGAUCCGCUCGAGAAAAUGAUUCCAGCACCAGCAGAGGCAUAAUUCACUCCAUGAAUCAUAUCUUCUACCAUUCCAGAUUGCCCCAGAUAACUUGGUACAAAAGGAAGACCAAGGCGUAAUGCUGAGAAAUGGAUUCAAAACAGAGAGUGUAAUGAGAAAAGGUUACACCAAAUUUAAUUUCAUCAGAACAAAAGGUGAAGAAUGUGUAUGCUCUAGGUGGGAAUCGAGGGUUUAGAAUUGGAAAAUCCCAAUUCCCAUUUCUCUGUUUGAUCGUGUAACUGUCGGUAACUUAGAAUGGAAUUCAAAUCCCAUGUACCCCAGAUUUCUAAGAAUUGGGAAUUCAAGCGAAA